GGACGGGUGAGUAACGCGUGGGAAUCUGCCCUGGAGUGGGGAACAACCGCUGGAAACGGCGGCUAAUACCGCAUACGCCUCUUCGGAGGGAAAGCUUUAUGCGCUCUAGGAUGAUCCCGCGUCCGAUUAGCUAGUUGGAGGGGUAACGGCCCACCAAGGCGACGAUCGGUAGCUGGUCUGAGAGGAUGACCAGCCACACUGGGACUGAGACACGGCCCAGACUCC
rnacentral:rRNA from 1 species